rnacentral:lncRNA from 1 species
UUUUUUUUUUUUUUUUAAUUUUUUUUUUUUUGAGACGGCGUCUCGCUCUGUCACCCAGGCUGGAGUGCAGUGGCCGGAUCUCAGCUCACAGCAAGCUCCGCCUCCCGGGUUCACACCAUUCUCCUGCCUUAGCCUCCCGAGUAGCUGGGACUACAGGCACCCGCCACCUUGCCCGGCUAGUUUUUUCUAUUUUUUAGUAGAGACGGGGUUUCACCGGGUUAGCCAGGAUGGUCUCGAUCUCCUGACCUCGUGAUCCGCCCGUCUUGGCCUCCCAAAGUGCUGGGAUUACAGGCUUGAGCCACCGCGCCCGGCCUGUCCUUUUUUUUUUAUUGAGACGGAGUCUUGCUCUGUCGCCAGGCUGGAGUGCAGUGGUGCUCACUGCAACCUCUGCCUCUGAGAUUCAAGCGAUUCUCCUGCUUCAGCCUUCCGAGCAGCUGGGACUACAGACGCAUGCCACCACACCCAGCUAAUUUUUGUAUUUUUAGUAGAGACAGGGUUUCACCAUAUUGGCCAGGAUGUUCUCAAUCUCCUGACCUCGUGAUCCGCCCACCUUGGCCUCCCAAACUGCUGGGAUUACAGGUGUGAGCCGCCUCACCCAGCUGAGAUGGGGUUUUAUUAUGUUGGCCAGGCUGGUCUUGAACUCCUGACCUCAGGUGAUCUGCCUACCUUGGCCUCUUGAAGUGCUGGGAUUACAAGCGUGAGCCACCGUGCCACCCGGUCUGGUUAUAAAUGUCUUGAUGGCAGCGAUGCUGACUUACUCAUCCCUGUAAUCACAAUGCCUAGUAAAUGGGGUAAUCACUCAAUGUUUUGUUUUGUUUCUUUUUUGAGACAGGAGUCUUGCUCUUUUGCCCAGGCUGGUGUGCAGUGGUGCAAUCUCAGCUCACUGCAACCCCUGCCUCCCUGGUUCAAAUGAUUUUCGUGCCUCAGCUUCCUGAGUAGCUAGGAUUACAGGCAUGUGCCACCACACCUCGCUAAUUUUUAUAUUUUUAGUAGAGAUGGGAUUUCGCCACGUUGGCCAGGCUGGUCUCAAACUCCUUGACCUCCCAAACUGCUGGGAUUACAGGCGUGAGCCACCGUGCCUGGCCAGCAAAGUCAUUUAAUUCCUGGGGACCCCUAGCAGGAACAAGAAACAGGAACGCUUUCCAGCCCAGCCCUUUGUUAAAUUAGGAAGUAUUACUCUGGCUAUUAGAAUUCUGGGCCUGAUCCAGCAGUUCUUUGAAAGUUUGCAGGCCUAUGAGGGCCGAAGGGACAGAGCCAGGGGCAGGUCUUGGACUCGGACCUCCUGCCUCCCCCAGUAACCUCUUUCUGGGCUUCAGCUCUCCCACUUGCUCUUCAGGGACAGUGGGGCUGGUGGGUGGUUUCUGCACUUCCUUCCAUUUCUCAGAUCCUGAGAUGUGGCACAGAGCUUUGCACACAUAAUGCUUCACAAACAUCUGCUGAGUGGAAAGGAACAAAUCCUGCUCUGAGCAAAGCCAGAAAAUCCAGGCUCAUCCAAAAUGAUCACUCAGGGAGAGUUUUACUUAACUAAUGUGUUUAUCACUUUACAAAGUGAUUCCCAGUGGUAUUCCUUAUCCGGUCUGCUCAUCCAGGAGCAUUUUCAAAGCUUCUGCAUCAAGCCACUGUCAUUCAAAUGCACCUCCCCACUGGGUCACGUUGGGUCUCCCAGCUAAUGGAAGUUCCCCUGUACAGGAGCUUGGCCAGGCGCAGUGUUUCAUGCCAGUAAUCCCAGC